rnacentral:rRNA from 1 species
AUGGCGCAACCGAGCAGAGCAGGUGAGGAGGGAGACGCGGGUUCCUCUUUCCCGCUGCUUGCUUCGUCGCCGGCGCGGCUCCGAUGGACUCUGGCGGCUCCUCUCUGUCUCCUUCCUCGCCCCCACACGCGGCUCCACUUCCCGCUGGCCAUGGGGCUGGCCGGCAGCAACGCCACCAUCCCUGCCGCUGCCAGUCCCUGCGCCGCCGACGGGUCCAUAGAGGCGUCGUUCUUGGUGGUUGAGCCGCUGAUGCAGAAGAUUCAUGGAGAGAUUUGUUGGGUGGACGCCGACAUCCUUGCCGCCGUCCGGUUGCAGGGUAGUGCUUACAAAAAGAGGCAAGCUGAAGAGGAAGGUUGGAAGAAGGAGAGUUAUGAUUGCCUCUUCCUCCUGUUGCUAAGGAAAAGGACCAAGUGCGGGCGGGUGAGCAUCAGGAGUCCAGUUGAUUGGCUUCGGCCUUUGAGUUGCUGCUGGCUAGCGGUGCUGCUUCUGAGCGUCUCCUCACCCCUCACUCAUGUGGCCCCUUCAACUGGUGGCACUUUUGCUUGUGUCUUGUUAUCUUUUCGAAAUGGUGAAGCUGACAAUGAUAGCCUGUAUCACUGA